CAUUUUUACUGUGAAGAAAAAUUAACUCUUUGAAUCAGAGUACCAACUCUCAAAGAAUCUCCCCAUCAAGAGUUAGGUUCCCCAAACACUGAUUCUUAUUCUGGUAAUUAUCUUGGAAGAAUUUCUACUCUUUUAUAGAAGACACCCCCAGUCUGAAUGGAUAUCCUGGUGUGAAGGAAGCACCAUCAUACCCAGAUUCCACUAAAGGCCAUCGUGGUCGUCGUCAGCAUUAUGUUAUGGUUUCAAGUAACAUGGAAUGGAAGAAACACUUGAUAUAAUGCAUUUAUUUCUAUAACAACCUACUCUGACAAAACUUCAUUAUACUUCAGGCUAUCAACUGGAGCAUCUGUUCACAUAUCCCUUAAACUGUAAAGUGGGCAAUGUAUCAUCACAAAGUGCAUGUUAAAACACCAGAGUGAUAUUAGGAUCAUCCCUUCUCAAGUGAAAAUGAAUACUUUUAGCCAAACUUUUGCAUAUGUCCUUUCCAAAAAACAAAACAAAAAAAAGAGGAAGUGUAUACCCCACACAUUACCAGAAUAUAUUGGCUGCUACCUGCAAAAAAGUAGCAUGUAAGUGAAAACAUUAGAAGAGACUACACAGAAUAUGGUUUCCCCAUGGAAAUAUUUCUGCAGGACAAGCAGCCUAUAGGCAAAGUAGGUUGAAGCUAUUCCAGCACCAGGUAAAAACUUUCAAGCUGAAGGCAUCCGUAAAGCCACUCAUUUUCACUUUUUUGCACACAUUACAGCUACUUCAAGCAGAUCUCAAAAUCUGAAAGACUAUGGGCUUUGAUUGAAACAAGUGCUAUUUCCUUACUAACUGUGCUAAUUCAGCAAAAUGGUAAAGCUGAGCUGAAUCAUCAUGAAAAACUGUGAGAAGCUUUAAAAUACUUGCUGCAAAAUGAAAAUGAAAACACAUUUUAUAUUUAUUCGUAAAGCCAAGAGACUAAAAAUUUGAAUCUUCCUUAUGUCUGCUGAACUUUACAACCCACUACAGAGCAAGAAUAAUAAUAUUAAAAAUCUAAAAAUGACCCUCAAACCUAGUAGGAGGCACAGUCACAACCAUUUGGAAUAGAAUUGGCUAUCCUUUAUGUCACUUUAUUAUAAUGUACAGAAAAUACACAUUUCCUGAUAGAGCCAUCAGUUAUGUUUAUGUUCCAGUACAAGACACAUCCACAGCAUGCUUCAUUAAAAAGUAGCUUGCAAGAGAAACAGGCACACAGUUUGCAUCAGAAUUCUAGCUGCAGAGGACCCUAAAAAUAUCUACAAUUGCACUUCCAGCUUCAUGUUCAGUUUUCAAUCUCCUAUAAACCAAAACACCGGAAUAAUAACAUGAAGUUGGUAACUAUUCUGAAAUCCAUUGACCACCUCUUCUCACAAGAGAGCAAAUGUGGUUGAAGCUAUAGAAUCACAUUCAAAUGUUGUCCCAAAACAGACUACUACAUGCAACCAGCAAGCUCCAGAGAAGUUCUGCAGCUUUCAAAGCAUGCAAAAAACUGAUAAACACUCUCAGCCUUCCAAAUGUCAGAGAGCAUCCAAGCAUAACUCCAGAGACAAGAUAUCCUUGUUGAAGUUACUGCUCCAGAAAACAAUUCAGAGGAAUUGAACUGUCUUCUACCUGACACUGAUCCACAGAAUUCCUUCUUCACCAACAGCACAAAGAGAUAAGCCUUCCUUGACUUUUCUUCCUGGAAACUAUCUGCAUAGGCUCUCCUUCAGUAGGGAAAUAUGCCUAGAAGAUUCAAGAUAAACAUCUCCUAUUUCUGUAAAUUGUUAGUUCAAAAGUUGUGACUGACCAGAAGGCACUAUGGUUACAUGCCAGCAUUUCAAGGGUUGUGCUUGCAUACUGAGCUGCUGGGCAGGCUGGAAACAUGAGGCUGCAUACAUCUGGUCACAAUUGAUCCCAAACUCCUUUGUCUGCUAUUGCCUUUCUGCUAUAUGUCUCACUGAAUACCCAAAAUCAGGAAUCAAAACAGUUCAACAGAGAAGGAAGAGAGAAAUAGUAUCCAAAAUUUUUUAAAGGUAAGAAAAAAAAACGAAAGUAAGAGCAGUUAAGAGGUCAGUUAACAAUUUUUUCUGAUCAAAAUUAUGGUAAACUUAUUUUGGUUCCAGGAAAUUGAAUUAAAAUGUGAUGAGAUUUGAUGUAGAUGAGUUGUCGUCUACAGGAGGACUCAUUACUUCAGUAAACCUAAGGACAAGAAGCUUAAGGACAUCUAUGGAUUAUAUUUCCUGCUACACAGAGCAUGGGAUUGAGUGCAAAUUUGCUGAUGACACCAAGGCUGUGGUCUGGUUGAGAUGCUGGAGGGAAGGGAUGCAAUCCAAGUGGACCUUGACAGGCAGAAGUUGGCCCAUGUGAACUUCAUGAAGCUGAACAAGGCAAAGUGCAAGGUGCUGCAUCUGGGUCAGACAAAUUCCAAGUUCAAAUACGGUCUGGGUAGAGAAUGGAUUGAGAAAAGCCCAGAGAAGAUGGACUUGUGGGUGUUGGUUGAUGAGAGGCUCAAAAUGAGCUGGCAGUGUGUUUUCAGCCCAGAAAGCCAAUCAUAUCCUUGGCUGCAUCAAAAGUAGCAUGGCUAGCAGGGUGAGGGAGGUGUUCUUCUCCCUCUCCUCUUCUCUCCUGAGACCCCUCCUGGGGGGCUGCAUACAGCUCUGGGUUCCCCAGCGUAAGAAGGAUUUGAACCUGCUGAAGCAAGAUCAGAAGAGGGCCACGAGAGAUGAUCAGAGGGCUGGAACUCUUCAUCUGUGAGGACAGGUUGAGGCAAUUGGGGUUGUUCAGCCUGGAGAAGAGCAGGUUCCAAGGAGACUUUAUAGCACCCUUCAACUAUA